UACUUGGAUGGGUGACCGCCUGGGAACAC
rnacentral:sRNA from 1 species